rnacentral:rRNA from 1 species
AUUGAACGCUGGCGGCAGGCCUAACACAUGCAAGUCGAGCGGAGCGGCGGACGGGUGAGUAAUGCCUAGGAAUCUGCCUGGUAGUGGGGGAUAACGUUCGGAAACGGGCUCUAAUACCGCAUACUAUCAGAUGAGCCUAGGUCGGUUUAGCUAGGUGGUGGGGAAAAGGCCUACCAAGGCGACGCUCAGUAACUGGUCUGAGAGGAUGAUCAGUCAAACUGGAACUGAGACACGGUCCAGACUCCUACGGGAGGCAGCAGUGGGGAAUAUUGGAAAAUGGGCGAAAGCCUGAUCCAGCCAUGCCGCGUGUAUGAAGAAGGUCUUCGGAUUGUAAGGCACUUUAAGUUGGGAGGCGUUACCAACAGAAGAAGCACCGGCUAACGUCGUGCCAGCCGCCGCGGUAAUUC